UGGCUACAUCACUUUGAAACACCAGUUCCCGUACGAUCACCAAAGUUAAGCAACGUCGAAUAUGGUCAGUACCUAAAUGAGUGACCACUUGCGGAUACCAUGUGCUGUAAG